AACGAACGCUGGCGGCAUGCCUAACACAUGCAAGUCGAACGAGCCCUUCGGGGUUAGUGGCGCACGGGUGCGUAACGCGUGGGAAUCUGCCCUUGGGUUCGGAAUAACAGUGAGAAAUUACUGCUAAUACCGGAUGAUGUCUUCGGACCAAAGAUUUAUCGCCCAAGGAUGAGCCCGCGUAGGAUUAGCUAGUUGGUGGGGUAAUGGCCUACCAAGGCGACGAUCCUUAGCUGGUCUGAGAGGAUGAUCAGCUACACUGGGACUGAGACACGGCCCAGACUCCUACGGGAGGCAGCAGUGGGGAAUAUUGGACAAUGGGCGAAAGCCUGAUCCAGCAAUGCCGCGUGAGUGAUGAAGGCCUUAGGGUUGUAAAGCUCUUUUACCCGGGAUGAUAAUGACAGUACCGGGAGAAUAAGCUCCGGCUAACUCCGUG
rnacentral:rRNA from 1 species